UGAGCUUAAUUGAAGCAUUUCGUUUACACCGAAAAGAUGUCUGUGAAAAUCAAACCAUUUUGA
rnacentral:tRNA from 1 species